rnacentral:lncRNA from 1 species
GCAAAACUCCCUCUUUUCAACAACAACAACAAAAAAGCAGGCCUGUACCAAACCAUAAAGCCCCUCUGUGCCAUGUACUUGGCCAGAGGUCUAAUUAGGGGAGCAUGUGGAAAGAUUUAAGGGGAUCUCCCAAAUUUAGAGAUUAGGAUUGGCUUAUUACAACCUGCUUCAGAACUAGAGUUCACCACACACCAAGAAACCCCAGAGAAAGAGCAAAGCAGAUGACAAAGCCAUGUUAUUAUUCCUUUACAAAUU